rnacentral:lncRNA from 1 species
GUCUUGUAUUAUUUUAAUUUUAGUUUCUUGUGUACAAUUUGGAAAUUAGUAUGGCGUUCAUUAUCACUGAACUAGUAUAUAUUUGUUUAGGGGCCAGCUGAAGGACGCCUCCGGGUGCGGGAAUUUCUCGCUACAUUGAAGACCUGUUGGUGACCUUCUGCUGUUGUUUUUUAUUUAGUCGGGUUGUUGUCUCUUUGACACAUUCCUCAUUUCCAU